rnacentral:rRNA from 1 species
UUAGAGUUUUGGACCUGGCUCAGGAUGAACGCUGGCGGCGUGCCUAAUACAUGCAAGUCGAGCGAACGGACGAGAAGCUUGCUUCUCUGAUGUUAGCGGCGGACGGGUGAGUAACACGUGGAUAACCUACCUAUAAGACUGGGAUAACUUCGGGAAACCGGAGCUAAUACCGGAUAAUAUUUUGAACCGCAUGGUUCAAAAGUGAAAGACGGUCUUGCUGUCACUUAUAGAUGGAUCCGCGCUGCAUUAGCUAGUUGGUAAGGUAACGGCUUACCAAGGCAACGAUGCAUAGCCGACCUGAGAGGGUGAUCGGCCACACUGGAACUGAGACACGGUCCAGACUCCUACGGGAGGCAGCAGUAGGGAAUCUUCCGCAAUGGGCGAAAGCCUGACGGAGCAACGCCGCGUGAGUGAUGAAGGUCUUCGGAUCGUAAAACUCUGUUAUUAGGGAAGAACAUAUGUGUAAGUAACUGUGCACAUCUUGACGGUACCUAAUCAGAAAGCCACGGCUAACUACUUCAGACGUACGG